rnacentral:rRNA from 1 species
UUUUGGGGGGGUUCUUCAACAACCCCAAAGAAUUUGGGGGGUAUUUCAUUCCAUUCAGAGGAACCUGUCUCGUAAUUGAUAGUACACGAUUUACUUUACUUAAUUUAUUUGUUUGUAUAUCUCCGUUACCAGAAAAUCUUUUUGGAGUUAUAAUUUUCUUAUUUUUUGAUUAUAAAUUAUUUCAGGUCAAGGUGCAGCUAAUAGUGACGGGCGAAUGGACACCCAUCAGAGCCAAUAACUGAAAAAUAAAUAAUUAAACACAACAUGGCCGCCGCUCGUAAAUCUACAAACUAAUACAGAAGAAAGG